GCCGAGCGAACGAGGGCGUAUCACAACUCAUUCGGUCCCGCUGCCUAGAUGGGCGAGCCAACCAGAAGCGUGCUGCUGCCCUUUUCACUGCCACUAUGCGGCAGGUUCCAGGUUCUUGUUCUGUGACCAGAAGAAUGAGAGACAAGUUGCGAUGUUCCCCAAGCUGAUCUCAAAUACCUGGCCUCAAGUUAUCCCCCCACCUCAGCCUCCCAGGUUGGGAUUGCAGGUACACACCAGCACGUCUUUGUGAACCUAUUGGAAGAAUCAUAUGGUCAACUGAAAAAGUGUUUGACGACAACUUGCUGCAUAGAGACAGAGAAGACACGCGGGCAUAUGCUUUGGACUGCAAAAUCCCUAAAGUGUCCUUCCAAAUGUUAAAUGGGGAUUCUAUAAAAGAAGCAACA